rnacentral:rRNA from 1 species
AGUGAACGCUGGCGGCGUGCCUAAUACAUGCAAGUCGAACGCGAAAGUCCUUCGGGAUGAGUAAAGUGGCGCACGGGUGAGUAAUGCAUGAGAACAUGCCCUUAGAUGGGGAAUAACGUUUGGAAACGAACGCUAAUACCGCAUAACCUCGAGAGAGUAAAGGUGGCGCCGCAAGGGCUACCGUCUAAGGAUUGGCUCAUGUCCCAUUAGCUAGUUGGCGGGGUAAUGGCCCACCAAGGCAACGAUGGGUAUGUGGUCUGAGAGGAUGAUCACACACACUGGAACUGAGACACGGUCCAGACUCCUACGGGAGGCAGAAGUAGGGAAUAUUGCACAAUGGGGGAAACCCUGAUGCAGCAACGCCGCGUGAGUGAAGAAGGCCCUUGGGUCGUAAAGCUCUUUAGCGAGGGAAGAGGGUAGAUACGGUGAAUAAUCGUGUUUGCUGACGGUACCUCGAGAAUAAGCACCGGCUAAUUUCGUGCCAGCCGCCGCGGUAA